UCACCGGUACUCGCGAAUGCUCUAGAUUAAAGUUUGAUCAUGGCUCAGAUUGAACGCUGGCGGCAANGCCUAACACAUGCAAGUCGAACGGUAGCACAGAGAGCUUGCUCUUGGGUGACGAGUGGCGGACGGGUGAGUAAUGUCUGGGAAACUGCCCGAUGGAGGGGGAUAACUACUGGAAACGGUAGCUAAUACCGCAUAACGUCUUCGGACCAAAGUGGGGGACCUUCGGGCCUCACACCAUCGGAUGUGCCCAGAUGGGAUUAGCUAGUAGUGGGGUAAUGGCUCACCUAGGCGACGAUCCCUAGCUGGUCUGAGAGGAUGACCAGCCACACUGGAACUGAGACACGGUCCAGACUCCUACGGGAGGCAGCAGUGGGGAAUAUUGCACAAUGGGCGCAAGCCUGAUGCAGCCAUGCCGCGUGUAUGAAGAAGGCCUUCGGGUUGUAAAGUACUUUCAGCGGGGAGGAAGGCGAUGUGGUUAAUAACCGCAUCGAUUGACGUUACCCGCAGAAGAAGCACCGGCUAACUCCGUGCCAGCAGCCGCGGUAAUAACGGAGGGUGCAAGCGUUAAUCGGAAUUACUGGGCGUAAGCGCACGCAGGCGGUCUUGUCCAAGUCGGGAUUGUUGAACUUCCCCCCGGGCUUUAACCCGGGAAACCUUGGCAAUUAACCGAAAAAACUUGGGCAAGGGCUUAAGGAAGGUCCUGGUUACAAA
rnacentral:rRNA from 1 species